rnacentral:rRNA from 1 species
UACGGGGGGGGCAAGCGUUGUUCGGAAUUACUGGGCGUAAAGGGCUCGUAGGCGGCCAACUAAGUCGGACGUGAAAUCCCCAGGCUCAACCUGGGAACUGCGUCCGAUACUGGAUGGCUUGAAUCCGGGAGAGGGAUGCAGAAUUCCUGGUGUAGCGGUGAAAUGCGCAGAUAUCAGGAGGAACACCGGUGGCGAAGGCGGAUCUCUGGGCCAUUACUGACGCUGAGGAGCGAAAGCGUGGGGAGCGAACAGG